GAUGUGAAGGUGAUCUGGCUGCGACAUGUCACCCCAUUGAUCACCAAGUUUGAUUUGGAUUGAUGUGGCUGGCUAGGCGGGCAUCACUUUCCUCCCUACCACUUCCCAGGCAUCCCUCCUGAAGCUGCAUGUUUGGUCAAAGAGGAUGACCUCCCCUGAUAGAGGAAGACCAUUAUUCCUGUCAAGAGUAGCUUUGCUCCCCUGCAAGAACCCGCAAACAGCUCAAAAAAAAAAAAAAAAAAACCAAAAAAAAACCCAAAACCAAUAAAAGUCUAUAAUGUAAAGGACUCCAGGUUAAGUAAUUUCAUUUCUCUU
rnacentral:snRNA from 1 species